UACGAAGGGGGCUAGCGCUGUUCGGAAUCACUGGGCGUAAAGGGCGCGUAGGCGGCUUUGUAAGUCGGGGGUGAAAGCCUGUGGCUCAACCACAGAAUUGCCUUCGAUACUGCAUGGCUUGAGACCGGAAGAGGUUAGUGGAACUGCGAGUGUAGAGGUGAAAUUCGUAGAUAUUCGCAAGAACACCAGUGGCGAAGGCGGCUCACUGGCCCGAUACUGACGCUGAGGCACGAAAGCGUGGGGAGCAAACAGG
rnacentral:rRNA from 1 species